CACCGAAACUGUUAAUCAGCCUGCUCUGCAGUCUGCUGCAGUUUGCUUUAUUAAAGCUCCCUGCUGCCUGCACACGUUCACUGGCACAGACAUCGAGAGACAAGCAAACACUUUCCCGAGUGCAGAGUGCUCUGCUGCAUUGCAGAGUUUACUGGCAGAAAGUGAUGGGGCAAUAGCAGUGUUUAAAAUCUUACAACUUGAAGUUUAUGGAGGAGACUGAUGGAGGAAGGGAUGGAAGAACUGCCAUUGCUGCUGAUUGUCACUUCAAAUUCUUGGGGGAAGAGUCUUAUGAAAGUGAAUGGGAAUUGAUCAUCUCUCUACAGACUUCUUGAGUCAUCUCACAGAAUUUAACAGAAAAUAAUUAUUUCACUUCAAUGUGGCUUAAAAGUGCUUGAAGAUUGAAGAUGUGCUAAUUUCCACAAUCUAAUUUAUCAGCUGGGAUAAGUUAACUCUUUGGAUUCUGUGCAAUUCUGUAUGUGUACCAUCUCUAAAUAGGUAGAUUUUCAUAUGUGUAUUUGCACUGCUUUAGUAGUUCCAUCUCUGGGGCUUUCACAAAAAGAUAACAGCCAUUUUUA